GACGAACGCUGGCGGCGUGCUUAACGCAUGCAAGUCGAACGGUAAGGCCCUUCGGGGUACACGAGUGGCGAACGGGUGAGUAACACGUGGGUGAUCUGCCCUGCACUUCGGGAUAAGCCUGGGAAACUGGGUCUAAUACCGGAUAGGACCACUGCCUGCAUGGGUGGUGGUGGAAAGCUUUUGCGGUGUGGGAUGGGCGCGCGGCCUAUCAGCUUGAUGGUGGGGUGAUGGCCUACCAAGGCGACGACGGGUAGCCGGCCUGGGAGGGGGACCGGCCACAAUGGGACUGGGACACGGCCCAGACUCCUACGGGAGGCGGCAGUGGGGAAUAUUGCACGAUGGGCGCAAGCCUGAUGCAGCAAGGCCGCGUGAGGGAUGGCGGCCUUCUGGUUGUAAACCUCUUUUAGUAGGGAAGAAGCGAAAGUGACGGUACCUGCAGAAAAAGCACCGUCUAACUACGUGCCAGCCGCCGCGGUAA
rnacentral:rRNA from 1 species